UUGACCUCGGAUCAGGUAGGAAUACCCGCUGAACUUAUGCAUA
rnacentral:rRNA from 1 species